CAUUCAAAGAGCAGGACCAACAGGGAUUGCCCUAGUAACGGCGAGUGAAGCGGCAACAGCUCAAAUUUGAAAUCUGGCGUCUUUGGCGUCCGAGUUGUAAUUUGCAGAGGGCGCUUUGGCAUUGGCAGCGGUCCAAGUUCCUUGGAACAGGACGUCACAGAGGGUGAGAAUCCCGUACGUGGUCGCUAGCCUUUACCGUGUAAAGCCCCUUCGACGAGUCGAGUUGUUUGGGAAUGCAGCUCUAAAUGGGAGGUAAAUUUCUUCUAAAGCUAAAUACUGGCCAGAGACCGAUAGCGCACAAGUAGAGUGAUCGAAAGAUGAAAAGCACUUUGGAAAGAGAGUUAAAAAGCACGUGAAAUUGUUGAAAGGGAAGCGCUUGCAGCCAGACUUGCCUGUAGUUGCUCAUCCGGGUUUCUACCCGGUGCACUCUUCUAUAGGCAGGCCAGCAUCAGUUUGGGCGGUUGGAUAAAGGUCUCUGUCAUGUACCUCCUUUCGGGGAGAACUUAUAGGGGAGACGACAUGCAACCAGCCCGGACUGAGGUCCGCGCAUCUGCUAGGAUGCUGGCGUAAUGGCUGUAAGCGGCCCGUCUUGAAACACGGACCAAGGAGUCUAACAUCUAUGCGAGUGUUUGGGUGUCAAGCCCGAGCGCGUAAUGAAAGUGAACGGAGGUGGGAACCUUUCGGGGUGCACCAUCGACCGAUCCUGAUGUCUUCGGAUGGAUUUGAGUAAGAGCAUAGCUGUUGGGACCCGAAAGAUGGUGAACUAUGCUUGAAUAGGGUGAAGCCAGAGGAAACUCUGGUGGAGGCUCGCAGCGGUUCUGACGUGCAAAUCGAUCGUCAAAUUUGGGCAUAGGGGCGAAAGACUAAUCGAACUAUCUAGUAGCUGGUUCCUGCCGAAGUUUCCCCUCAGGAUAGCAGUAACGUUUU
rnacentral:rRNA from 1 species